rnacentral:lncRNA from 1 species
GCCACCGGUUUCCUUUUUCGCAGUCUGUUGGCCCAAACAUUAGGAUUCUUCCUCGGAAUCACUGAUCUCUUCAUAGGCGACUGGUUGUCUUAUGCGCAGUCUGUUGGCCCAAACAUCAACUGUCAUUCUCUUGGAUUCUUCCUCGGAAUCACUGAUCUCUUCAUAGGCCACCAGUUGUCUUUUUCGCAGUCUGUUGGCCCAAACAUCAACCUUCUUUCUCUCGGAUUCUUCCUCAGAAUCACUGAUCUCUUCAUAGGCCACCAGUUGUCUUUUUCGCAGUCUGUUGGCCCAAACAUCAACUGCCUUUCUCUCGGAUUCUUCCUCAGAAUCACUGAUCUCUUCAUAGGCCACUGGUUGUCUUUUUCGCAAUCUGUUGGCCCAAACAUCAACCUUCUUUCUCUCGGAUUCUUCCUCAGAAUCACUGAUCUCUUCAUAGGCCACUGGUUGUCUUUUUCGCAAUCUGUUGGCCCAAACAUCAACCUUCUUUCUCUCGGAUUCUUCCUCAGAAUCACUGAUCUCUUCAUAGGCGACUGGUUGUCUUAUGCGCAGUCUGUUGGCCCAAACAUCAACCGCCUUUCUCUCAGAUUCUUCCUCGGAAUCACUGAUCUCUUUAUGGGCCACCCGUUGUCUUUUUCGCAGUCUGUUGGCCCAAACAUCAACCUUCUUUCUCUCGGAUUCUUCCUCGGAAUCACUGAUCUCUUCAUAGGCCACCGGUUGUCUUUUUCGCAGUCUCUGGGCCCAAACAUCAACCGUCUUCCUCUCGGAUUCUUCCUUGGAAUCACUGAUCUCUUCAUAGGCCAUUGGUUGUCUUUUUCGCAGUCUCUUGGCCCAAACAUCAACCGUCUUCCUCUCGGAUUCUCCCUCGGAAUCACUGAUCUCUUCAUAGGCCACCGGUUGUCUUUUUCGCAGUCUCUGGGCCCAAACAUUAACCGUCUUCCUCUCGGAUUCUCCCUCGGAAUCACUGAUCUCUUCAUAGGCCACCGGUUGUCUUUUUCGCAGUCUCUGGGCCCAAACAUUAACCAUCCUCUUUGAUCCUGCAGAAGACAUGGUAAAUGGGGGCUGGGUGGGUUAGGGAGUGUUGGGUCCUGUUUUGUCAGAUAAGGAGAUGCCUCCUCCCUUCCCAUGUGGCCACAGGACAUCUACAUAGUCUGUUUUGCACACUUUCUGGCUCAAAGAGGCUGAGAGGUUAAACCCACACCAAUACACACCAAAAAAUACACACGCAACAGCAGUUAGAGUUUCAGCCCUGGCUCCUUUCAUCGUCAGGUUUAGAUUCCCAGUAAGUAAGUUUAGAUUACUUACCACAUUUAUUCUGACCUUCUUUCACUCAGCAGAUAUAUUAAGGGCAUACUGUCUGUCAGGCAUUGAGCUGAGGGUGGGGAUAAAACUCUGAGUAAGACGUGUUCCCAAGUUAUCACAGAUGGAAUGACCUGAGUUCCCCCACCAGGGAUUGAACCCAUGCUCCAUGCAGAGUAGGUGCAGUCUUAACCACUGGACUGCCAGGGAAGUCCGUUGAAUCGAACACCUUUGAACAGACUGUGAACUUGGAUUCUUUAUUUCCAUUUUAUGGACUAGGAAUCUGGAGCUCAGAGAAUUUGAAAGGCUUGCCCCCAAUUACAUGGCUUUCAUAUCGAUGACAACUCAGAUCUGUGAUUCUGUAAGUUAGCUUUUUAAAAAACUGUGGCCACGCCAACUGGUUUGUGGGAUCUUAGUUCCUUGAUCAGGGAUCAACCCAGGCCCCAGCAGUGAGGACCCUGGAAGUCAACUCAAAUGUUUCAGCUGGGGCUGAGCAAGCUCUCAGCCCAGCCUGGCCCUAGGCCUGUCCAGGAUCCAUCUCCCAUGACUAACCCAUUCACUUGAACAUGGCCAGGGAAGACAGAGGACUUGUUCCCAAACAAGUAAGAAAAGUUGUUUCUCUUACCUGAUGUUUUCUUACUCUCCUGAGCAGAGAUACUUGCUUUUGUCUGGGAGCGCAGCUGUCUCUGAGCCUGCUCUGGGCCUGAUGUUCCUGGUACUAUCUUUGAACGUUUUUUUCCCUUUACAGGCUUCUUGGACAUCACCUUCUUAACGUGAAAGUCACAUACAAUCAGUAUCCAUUUCUCAAGUGCUUUUAGAGCUUACAAAGUGUUUUCUUGUGCAGUACCUUAAUUAACGUUCUCAACAAGUCUGGGGGAUCAUUAUAUUACCUGUACCUCAAUUACAAAGAAUCUAGGAAGUUAGAAGGAAAUGGAAUGGUCUAAAUGAAGGGUGUUUCCACGAUUAGAACGCUUGUUUUCAUGCUUUUUCCAGACUGACACCCUCACCAAGAGAAAUCUCCAAGUGAGCAGGAGUGUGGUACACGGAAGAUUUGGAAAGUAGAGUAUUCUAACAAUCCAUGAGGUCUGUGAAAAUGAGGAGGGGCUUCUAUAAAAUCUAAGGGAUUGAAGAUAAGCUAGUUGACAGCUGCGGGGAGAGCAAAUGGAAUGAUGUGCAGAGGGGACAAAACACUGCUGGCAAAUGGUGUGGGAGAGAUGAAUACAGGGAAAGGAGAAGAGAGAAUGGUUCACAUAAAUUCACGCGGCCAGCCAAGAAAGUGGUGCCAGAUGUGACAUCCUGUCCUACCUCGGCAAGAACAUUUCAUGUGGAAUUAGGUGAGGUGGCUCCUGUACCAAUUCUACUUGUGUCAAGGUGUGUCACUGACCACCGAUCUUAAAGCUAACCUUCAUUCAGCUCUUGUUUAUAAAACUGUGAACUGUAAAACAAGCUAAGUGAAAGAACUUUCUAAGGCUAUAAAUGCAGUUUAAAUGUGAUAAUAAUAAAAACAAACACUUUUAUGAUCCCUCUUUGAAUUCUCUCUUCAACCGUGUCCACACUGGUACUGGUAGCCGAACCACCAGAUCCCUUUACCCUCUAAACUACAGUUUAAUCUGCAAUUGCAGAAGAACUCAUUCAAUAAACCUCUAACAGUCUUUCUGGGCUGGAACUGGGGCUUCAGGGAUGCCUCAGCGGCAGACAAGGUCCCUAAGGAGCUCACAGAAGAGAGGGGCUGACAGUUCAAGUGAUUCUCAAGCAACACGAAAGGGGCCCUGUUGUGAGAGUGGGUGUCUUAACAGAAGUGUCAGCAGCAUCUGCAAAAUUUAAGGGAAACGCCUGAGCUUGAGAAACAUGUGAAACAGCUGACAAAUUUGGAAAUGGUUUGGGGCUUUGGAUUAGACUACUACCACUGCCACUGUUGGGCUUCCCUGGUGGCUCAGAUGGUAAAGAAUCUGCCUGCAAUGCAGGAGACCCAGGUUUGAUCCCUGGGUCAGUAAGAUCCUCUGGAGAAAAGAACAGCCACUGUGGUCUCAAGCAGAUUAUUUAACAUCUCUGUACCACAGUAUCUGCAUUAUUAUGAGUAGUAGUAUUUAAUAAUACUAAUACUAACCUCAUUAUUAUUUGGGGAUAAUAAUAGCAGGAACAUCAGAGAGUUUUAAGGGCUAAAUACACUAAUUCAUGUAAAUUGUCUAAAAUAGUAUCUGUCAUCACUAAGAAAUCAAGGAAGUAACAGCUAUCACAAUUGUUGUUAAUUAUUAUUUAGCUCUUGGUACUACAUCAGGAAUUGUGAUAAAGAGAUCAGGAAAGGGAGGCAGUGUGGGCCAGGCUACUUUCCCACUGUUAUCCCAAUAUUCACAUCUCCAGAGACAUAAACAGUCUCUGGUCCUUCGGAUUUGGGCGGCACUCACCUUCUGGCGUUUUCUCCCUUGCAUGUUGGAAGUCCCUUCAGCAGGUUCAUCUAAAAGGAGGUGACAAGUCAGAAAUUUAUUUUUGUUGUUGGUAAAUAUUCUCAAACUGCAGAGACUCCUGUAGUAUCAGGAAUUUCUGCAGCAGAGGGUGACAAGUCCACUCAUUAUCAAAGAGUUACUCUGAGACCAGCCUCUGAAUAACAACAAUUUCGGUUAUUUAUUUGCGGCAUCAAUUCAGAAUUUUUCUUCUGAUGGUUUAUAAGAUGCAAACUAAACCCCAUCACUGCCUUAUCCUAUCCUAUUAUGUAUUUCUUAUUUUUUCCCAAAGAAGUAAAUUGAUUGGUCUUUAGCCAAAAAUCACUCUAUACUUAAAAUGGUGACUUUCACAGUAUGUCACCUUAAUGAAACUGUUAAGUGUGAAAUGAACCAUGGAUGAUUUACUCCAGUGGUUAUGGAAUGUUUCCAGUAUAAGGAUACCUCUUUAAUAUCAAAAGCUCUGUAGGUACUCAAGCACUGGCUUUUUAGCCCUCUUAUAGUAAUUUUGGGAGCUUGUGGAAACGGCUCUGUUAAACUAGAGAGUCAAACAAAGGGCUACUGGAGACAUUUUGAACAUUUUCACCCUGUCUUCUCACAACUGUGCUCUCAGAACAAAAGAGCAAAUGAACACAUCCCAUCCCCUUUUUAAGUGAGUACAUACACUGCUCAGAUGCACAAAGAUUUCUAGAAUCUGUCACUUUUUUAAACCUUACAAU